rnacentral:lncRNA from 1 species
GUUGUGACUCUAUAUCUAACAAUAAUAUGUCUUAGUAAGAUGAUAUUUAAAUGCUUAGUUUUUUUAUUUUUGAAUUUGUAUUGUGGGGGAAAAUAUAUAAUGCAAUGCAAUACAGUGUUGAUUGAGAUAUAUGUUCUUUAAAAACCCAGUGUAUCAUAUUUGAUACUUCAAUCAGUCCAGUAAGUGUUUAUCUUCAAAUUAUACUAAUAAUAUAUGUUAUUCUUAAAAUCAAACAUUUCACAGCAAAAAUACCCAUGAAUCACAACCUGAAGGUCAACAUUUUUACAAAAGGCCUUUUACAUGCUAAAAAAGCAUAAACUUACAAUGAAAGUGAUUGACACACAUUUUUGGAGGAUUUCAAAGUAUAAAUGUAAUGCAAUUUAUGUUAUGAAACAAAUGACAAUAACAAAGCCCCUAGAAAUUUCUUGCAAAUUCAUGAACAUGUUAUGAGAAGGCAGAGGCUCAGUUCAAGAUGUCCAUCGGUAUGCUGCAAGAUUUUGUUAGCUGGAUGGUCCCCUGGUGGGCAUCUGUCCUCUGAUUGGUUUCUGAGUGUCCAGUGGGUUUUUACAAAGGCUUAUCUCAACAUCUAUCCAUUCACUUAUGUGCUUAUGCUUGGUAAUGGUCUCUCCUAUGAAGUGCAGGGCUCUACUUUGAAUCCAAUCACUUAUGGCUAUGUCUCCGGUCUGUCUAGUGCUCCAAGAUCUCUGUCUAAUAAUGUUGCUCAUCUUUUUCAGUGCUGACUGCCACAAACUGCACCAAGAUCAACUUUGCAAGUCUACUUGCCCUGGUAUGAGUAUAUACAUGUUAAUAUAUAUAUUUUUUGCUAUUCAUCUAAUCACUCAAUUAGAGUUUUUUUCCAAUUUAGCUCACUUCUGGACUCAGCACAUAUAAUUAAAGUACAUCUGACUUAUGUUUACAGCUGUGCAGAAAGGGCAAAGGCACACAUAUAGAUACAGUACAACCAUAAACGGUGCUUGGAAAGGUCCUUCAUCAGGCGGCAGUCAGUUAGCUUUGGACUGUGUUGUUGACAUUGAUGUCCGACCAGGAUGUCCAGAAAUUAUAUUAAAGGUAUGUUAUGUUCUAUCAGUCAUUCUAUAUAUGUAAUCAUUUUGUCAACCAUAUUGAUACAACUUUUCUUCCUUUACAAUACAUAAUUUUUUAUAACAAGCAUAAUAUAGCCAUUCAGAUAAAAAUUGAGGCAUUUGAUUCAAUUUCAGAUAAUAGCCAGCAUUUAUAUAUGCCUAUACCUAGAUUCAUUUGUUUUAAAUCUUUGCAAUCAUAUUUCAUUUAUUCCAUAUUUGUUAUAUUUAUUUGUAUGUAGCUAAGGAACAUACAAAUAAAGCAUAGCUCUUCGAAAAGAGACAAUUCGGUGCUACGCUUGAAGAACAUAAGGUAAUUUAAGUUUCUUUUGAUGUGCUACACUCAUUCACACUUAGACAGAUAGGCUGUAUAAAUAAUGUAGCCUUGGUGAGCAUAAGAGACUUUUCAAAAACAUUAAAAAUCAAACUGAGUCUACUAAGUAUGAGCAAUGACACUGGAUUAUGAUUUCUCUACAGACUGAUGUGUAUGGGACAUGUAUGAGUUCUUAUGAACAGAGGGGACCAUUGCUGGUGAAGAGCCGAAACCUCCAGCAGUGCCUCAGUGACAGAAUCGAUCAGUUUUGGAGGCACUCUGUCCCCCUGAAGGAUGGCAUGGUGAGCCCCACGUUUUCUAUUCUACACCCAACAUUCACACAACUGACCCAAUGUGAACUGCCUUCAGUUUGAGUUGCUCUUUAUUUUGAUUAGACGGUGAGUGCCAGCCUCACAUGCAACCAGCUCAAUGAUGGAACAAUGCUGAAGAAGGUCAACUGUACAGAAACAGUGUCACUGGUUCCGCUGCCAGGCCUCUUAGAAGUAACAGAAACUAAAACCAUUUCAAGCCUAACUCUCCUGAGAACCCUUGAAGUGAUUCCAUCAGAUUUGGGUAAGACUUAGUUUUUGAUGUUGUCGAUCCAGUAUGAUCAUGUCACACUUUUAAUGCAAUAUUUCUACUUUAUGAGUUUAAAU